GGAAUACAGCUACUGUAUUUAUCUACACUGACUUUAAAAUGAAGAGAGGUACGUAGUUAUGCCAAGUAUUGCAUUGCUCAUUUGUGCUUGUUAGGUGUCUAGUGUCUUUAAGUCUUUGCCCCAUAUCAGAGGCUUACAACUGCAGAAGAGCAAGUUUUGAGUGUUCAUAGUAGUCAUUUUAUGAGAAAACUGUAUUCAACUCCGGUAGUUGAUCACCUCCCUGGAUAUAUAAAUAGUUAAAGAUUUACCUACCUGCACAGAUUGAU
rnacentral:misc_RNA from 1 species